rnacentral:tRNA from 1 species
GGCGGGAUAGCCAAGAGGUAAGGCCAUCGCCUGCAAAGCGAUUAUUCGUCGGUUCGAUUCCGACUCCCGCCUCCA